UACGGAGGAGGCAAGCGUUAUCCGGAAUUAUUGGGCGUAGAGCGUCCGCAGGUGGCACUUCAAGUCUGUCGUCAAAGACUGGGGCUUAACCCUGGAAAGGCGGUGGAAACUGAAGCGCUAGAGUGCGGUAGGGGUAGAGGGAAUUCCCGGUGUAGCGGUGAAAUGCGUAGAGAUCGGGAAGAACAUCGGUGGCGAAAGCGCUCUACUGGACCGCAACUGACACUCAGGGACGAAAGCUAGGGGAGCGAAUGGG
rnacentral:rRNA from 1 species